rnacentral:rRNA from 1 species
AGAGUUUGAUCCUGGCUCAGGAUGAACGCUAGCUACAGGCUUAACACAUGCAAGUCGAGGGGAAACGGCAUUUUAGCUUGCUAAGAUGGACGUCGACCGGCGAAUGGGUGAGUAACGCGUAUCCAACCUUCCGUUAAGUAGGGAAUAGCCUUGCGAAAGUAAGAUUAAUGCCCUAUGUGGUGUUUUGAGGACAUCUGAAGAUCACCAAAGGUUUACCGCUUAACGAUGGGGAUGCGUCUGAUUAGGUUGUUGGCGGGGCAACGGCCCACCAAGCCUACGAUCAGUAGGGGUUCUGAGAGGAAGGUCCCCCACAUUGGAACUGAGACACGGUCCAAACUCCUACGGGAGGCAGCAGUGAGGAAUAUUGGUCAAUGGGCGUAAGCCUGAACCAGCCAAGUAGCGUGCGGGAUGAAGGCCCUAUGGGUUGUAAACCGCUUUUUCAGGGGGAUAAAGUGAGUGACGUGUCAUUCAUUGCAGGUACCCUGCGAAUAAGGACCGGCUAAUUCCGUGCCAGCAGCCGCGGUAAUACGGAAGGUCCGGGCGUUAUCCGGAUUUAUUGGGUUUAAAGGGAGCACAGGCCGGCUGUCAAGCGUGUUGUGAAAUGUAGGGGCUCAACCUCUGACUUGCAGCGCGAACUGACGGUCUUGAGUACGCACAACGUUGGCGGAAUUUGUCGUGUAGCGGUGAAAUGCUUAGAUAUAGACGAAGAACUCCGAUUGCGAAGGCAGCUGACGGGAGCGCCACUGACGCUUAAGCUCGAAAGUGCGGGUAAUCGAACAGGAUUAGAUACCCUGGUAGUCCGCACGGUAAACGAUGGAUGCCCGCUGUUUGCACCUGGUGUAAGCGGCUNAGUGAAAACGUUAAGCAUCCCACCUGGGGAGUAANNCCGGCAACANGNNAAACUNAAAGGAAUUGACGGGGGCCCGCACANANGGAGGAACAUGUGGUUUAAUUCGAUGAUACGCGAGGAACCUUACCCGGGCUUGAAUUGCAGAUGAAGGAUCCAGAGAUGGUGACCUUCGGGGCAUCUGUGAAGGUGCUGCAUGGUUGUCGUCAGCUCGUGC